AAGGUUAGGGUUGGAGCGCUGAAGCCAUUGCCCGGCCUCCGUUGACUUUAGCGGAUCCGCUGCGAUUCCCCGCCAGUCAGCGACUCCGCGUUCCAUUGCUUGCCAGUGGGGACAUUCGAUGACGAUUUAUGCACUAAGAUGUCUCUCUCGAAUUUUUAAAGAAAAAGGAUGGAUAUAUGCAGUUACCACAUUAGCAUAAUUAUCGGAUGUUGGGAAAUGUUAGAAAUUCUUCCGUGGUAGGAAUACACAGAUGAUUAUUUAUACUUAUGUAUAUUCAAUUUUUCCACAGUAAAAACGAUGUAUUGUCAGCAAGGAACCCCAAGUAAACCUUAUUUAAAGUCUAAUGGAUGGGGAGCCUCACACUGGAAUAGGGGGUGUCUGUCCUGAGAACUCUCCUCAAUAAACCUGUGUGUGCUAAUUCUC